CCCUACGGGGCGCAGCAGUGGGGAAUAUUGCACAAUGGGGGAAACCCUGAUGCAGCGACGCCGCGUGAGUGAAGAAGUAUUUCGGUACGUAAAGCUCUAUCAGCAGGGAAGAAAAAAAGUCCUUUGGACUUUGGACGGUACCUGACCAAGAAGCCCCGGCUAACUACGUGCCAGCAGCCGCGGUAAUACGUAGGGGGCAAGCGUUAUCCGGAUUUACUGGGUGUAAAGGGAGCGUAGACGGUUGUAUAAGUCUGGAGUGAAAGCCCGGGGCCCAACCCCGGGACUGCUUUGGAAACUGUGUAACU
rnacentral:rRNA from 1 species